CCCGGAAGUAAUAGUCAGCUUUCUUUUUUCCAACACGGGGAACCACAGCACCUAAAGUAUGGAACGUAACAGGUGGGGGCUCUACUUACUGAACACAGCUACGACUUAGCGAAAACAUGGAAAAGUGGUGAACCUUCUCAGGAGUAGCCGGUCAACCAAAAGGACCCCAAGAGUGCAGCGACGACUCAUCCAAGAGGUCACAAAAGACCCCACAACAACAUCCAAAGAAGUGCUGGCCUCACUUGCCUCCGUUAAGGACAAUGAUCCAAAACACACCAGCAAGUCCACCUCUGAAUGACUGAAGGAAAAACCAAAUGAAGACUUUGGAGUGGCCGAGUCAAAGUCCUGACCUGAAUCCUAUUGAGAUGCUGUGGCAUGACCUUAAAAAGGCUUCAUGCUGGAAAAGCCUCCAAUGUGGCUGAAUGACAACAAUCCUCCACAGCACUGGAAGAGACUCAUUGCAAGUUAUCACAAACGCUUGAUUGCAGUUGUUGCUGCUAAGGGUGGCCUAACCAGGCAUUUAUUUUUCAACACACGGCCGUGUAGAUUUGGAUUAGUUUUCUUGGUCUCCAUUAAUAAUAACAUUUCAUUUAAAAACUGCAUUUUGUGUUGAGUUGUGUUGUCAUUGAUGAAUAAUUAGAUACGGAAGAAUGAAGGCUGGUCCAAUCAUUUUUUUUCCAUGACUGUACCCCCAACCCACCCCAAAUAUUCUGGUGCUCCUGCCACUUCCUCUGCUGCUCCUCUUCUCUCUCCUUUGCCAUUUGCAACUUAAACUUUAAUUGCUGAUUCUCGGCUUGUAAUCGGCGAAUUUUUACAACACGCAAGCGAAAGGACAGGAAGUAGAACCUCACCAUCACCACGUAUCAAACGGACUACAGAGCGAUCACAAAACCAUGCAGCACCUGAAGUAGCAUUCAUGAAGUAUUUUAUUCAUAAUUACCUUCAGUUUCUGAUUGUAUUGUUCUAAAUGAACUAGGGAUGGGCACGAUUAAUUCAUGAUCCAUAAUUGAUCAUUAAGAAUUUUGUCGAUCAUGUAAUGUUUUUUUUUCAAUUUUUCGAAAAAUGGUUAAAUAGAGUUCAUGUAGUGUGUGACGAGAAAGCAAUGUAAUGAAUUUCACCAUGUGGUGGUAGUAAAAUAUCCCACCAUCACACCCCCACCCAUGGAUUGCAAUCCGACAGAUUGGUGGAAGGUGAACGACACAAGGUUCCCCAGGCUGGCCGAGUUAGCCAGACAGUAUCUCUGCAUCCCCGCGACUUAGGUCCCAUUAGAGAGGGGCUUUUCAGCUGCUGGACUGACAGUCACUUGGCUUCGUUCACGCCUCACCCUCGAGCAUGUUAACAUGCUAACAUGCUUCAUAAUGCGUCAUUGUUAUGUGGGAUCUCACUCUCUCAGUCGUGCCUUUUGGCAAAAAAAAUUAAAAAAAAGGUCAGCUACGAGUCUACUUUGUUCUUUGAUGAAAUGACUAUUAGUUCAUAAAUAAUAAUGAAGCGGUAGAAAAUGAAUGAAUGAUGUUUUAUUUUU